rnacentral:rRNA from 1 species
AGCUCCGGCGCCUAAGGAUGGGUCUGCGGCCUAUCAGGUAGUAGUGGGUGUAGCGUACCUACUAGCCUACGACGGGUACGGGUUGUGAGAGCAAGAGCCCGGAGAUGGAUUCUGAGACACGAAUCCAGGCCCUACGGGGUGCAGCAGGCGCGAAAACUUUACAAUGCUGGCAACAGCGAUAAGGGAACCUCGAGUGCCAGGUUACAAAUCUGGCUGUCGAGAUGCCUAAAAAGCAUUUCAUAGCAAGGGCCGGGCAAGACCGGUGCCAGCCGCCGCGGUAACACCGGCGGCUCGAGUGGUAACCGUUAUUAUUGGGUCUAAAGGGUCUGUAGCCGGCCGGAUAAGUCUCUUGAGAAAUCUGGCAGCUUAACUGUCAGGCUUUCAGGAGAUACUGUCUGGCUCGAGGCCGGGAGAGGUGAGAGGUACUUCAGGGGUAGGGGUGAAAUCUUGUAAUCCUUGAAGGACCACCAGUGGCGAAGGCGUCUCACCAGAACGGACCUGACGGCAAGGGACGAAAGCUAGGGGCACGAACCGGAUUAGAUACCCGGGUAGUCCUAGCCGUAAACGAUACUCGCUAGGUGUCGGCCACGGUGCGACCGUUGUCGGUGCCGUAGGGAAGCCGUGAAGCGAGCC